rnacentral:rRNA from 1 species
CCUACGGGGGGCAGCAGUGGGGAAUAUUGCGCAAUGGGCGAAAGCCUGACGCAGCGACGCCGCGUGAGGGAUGAAGGUCUUCGGAUCGUAAACCUCUGUCAGCAGGGAAGAACGGUCACUGUGCUAAUCAGCAGUGAAUUGACGGUACCUGCAAAGGAAGCACCGGCUAACUCCGUGCCAGCAGCCGCGGUAAUACGGAGGGUGCGAGCGUUAAUCGGAAUUACUGGGCGUAAAGCGCUCGUAGGCGGUAUGUCAAGUCAAGGGUGAAAUCCCCGCGCUCAACGGGGGAACUGCCUUUGAAUCUGGCAGACUGGAGUGUGUGAGAGGAUAGUGGAAUUCCAGGUGUAGGGGUGAAAUCCGUAGAUAUCUGGAGGAACAUCAGUGGCGAAGGCGACUAUCUGGCACAUAACUGACGCUGAGGAGCGAAAGCGUGGGUAGCAAACAGGAUUAGAUACCCUGGUAGUC